CUCGGAAUCCAGGCCCGAUAAUCGUCAAAAUCUGACAAAUUUCAUCGAUCCCUAAAACACUUUUUAACAACUAUCAGUAAAACGACUUCACCACCGCCAGGAUCCCCCUGUACCUAAAAUCCACCACUCUGCUUUUUCUACCACUACGCUACGAGCAAAAACUUGGUUCAGCAAUCUCUUCACAAGAUCCAAAACUGAGAAUCUACUGAAAAUUGAGUUGAGAGAUGGGCUGUACCCAGUCCAAGAUCGAGAACGAAGAAGCCGUUUCUCGCUGCAAAGACCGCAAAAAAUUCAUGAAAGAUGCCGUCGCCGCCCGCAACGCCUUCGCCUCCGCUCACUUCGCCUGCGCUAUAACUUUAAAGAACACCGGUGCCGCCCUCAGUGACUACACCCAUGGAGAGGUCGCACACCGCUCCUCCUCUAUGCCUGCUCACGCCGCCCCUACAGUCGCCCCUUCUUCUUCCUCUGUCGACACGCUCCCUCCUCCCGCCACUCCCUAACUUUCAGACGUCGGCAGCUCCUCCUCCGCUUCCGCUUCAGCGCGCCGCGAGCAUGCCGGAGAUGAUGAUCCAGAAGCCUGAAUCGAAAUCGGUGGGGCCCACGAUAAUGGAAGACGAGGAGAUGGAAUUUGAUACUCCUGAUAAUGAGAAAUUGAUAAGGAAGCGAAGUAGUAGUAGUAAAAGAGGCAGUGGCAGUAACAGAGGAGCUGUGCAAGAGAAUCAUCAACGUCAACAUCACAUGGAGCAGGGCGCAGACCAGCCACAGCCAUCGCAGCAGUGGAAAGAGGAGGUGAUUCGGGGCCCGACGGUGCAUCAGGGAUCGUCUUGGAGUGAUUACUUUUUUGCGCCGGUGGAGAGUAUGCCGGGGCCUACUUUGGCAGAACCGUUGGAGGUGGACGAAUUGGGGCGGAGGGAGUUUGAGGAAAAGGCCAAUAAAGUGCCACAAGAAGAGCAGGAGGAGAAUCCGGUGUUGGUGGUUGAGGAAAAGGUGGAGAAGGCGGUCGAGGUGCCAGUGCCAGUGCCAGUACCGGCAGUGGAGAAGAAGGUAGUGAAAAAGGGCGGUGGAGAAAUGGGGAGGAGGGUGGGAAAACCGAUGAAUUUGAUGGUCAUAUUUGCUGAGCUUGAUGAUCAUUUCUUGAAGGCUUCUGAGAGUGC
rnacentral:misc_RNA from 1 species